rnacentral:rRNA from 1 species
AUCAAAAACAUGGCUUUAUGAAAAUAUAAUUUAAGGUCAAAUCUGCUCAAUGAUAAAAUUUAAAUAGCUGCAGUACUUUGACUGUACAAAGGUAGCAUAAUCAAUAGUUUAUUAAUUGUGAACUGGAAUGAAGGAUUAAAUAAAAUAUUAACUGUUUCUUGCUAAAAAAAUUAAAUUUAAUUUUUAAGUUAAAAAGCUUAAAUAAUAAUAAGGGACGAGAAGACCCUAUAGAUUUUUACAUUUGUCUUUUAGAAGUCUAUAAAUUAAAAGUUUAAAGAAGGUAAAUGUUUCAAUGGGGAAUUGUUUAAAUAAAAAAAAUUUUAAUAAAAGAAUUUCAUUAAUUGAUGAUUAAAAGGAUGAAUAAAUAAAAUUUAUAUUAGAUAAAAAUACCUUAGGGAUAACAGCAUAAUAAUUUUUUAAAGAUCAAAUUUUAAAAGUUGAUUGUGACCUCGAUGUUG